GUAAAAGUCGUAACAAGGUUUCCGUAGGUGAACCUGCGGAAGGAUCAUUAUAGAAUAAAAUUGAACGGGCUGUUGCUCUCCUUAUGGUGGUGCACGCCUGUCAUAUUUAUCUCUCCCACUGUGCACAUUUUGUAGACCUGGUGUUUGGGAACUGCUGUAGUCAGCUUUGCCCUUUGCCCUUGCCAGUCUAUGUUAUUUUAUCACAACCUCUGAAUGUUUUGAACUUUUUAUGAUGGAAAUUAUAUACAACUUUCAGCAACGGAUCUCUUGGCUCUCGCAUCGAUGAAGAACGCAGCGAAAUGCGAUAAGUAAUGUGAAUUGCAGAAUUCAGUGAAUCAUCGAAUCUUUGAACGCAUCUUGCGCUUCUUGGUAUUCCAAGGAGCAUGCCUGUUUGAGUGUCAUUAAAGUUCUCAAAACCCACAUGCUUGUCAUGUGGAAUUUUGGAUAUGGGGGUUUGCAGGCUUUUUAAAGUCGGCUCCUCUGAAAUGUAUCAGUGGUAUCUGUGUGGACUACAGGUGUGAUAAAUAAAAUCUAUGCCUUGCCCCUCACCGUGCUGCUUCUUCUGACGAGUUGGGAUUGACAAAUUUGACCUCAAAUCAGGUAGGACUACCCGCUGAA
rnacentral:rRNA from 1 species